CCCUGCUUGCACACAACUUUCAAUUCCAUCAAGGAUCCAGCAACAUAAGAAUUGUGAAAAGAUGACAAAGAAAAAGAUCAGAACAAAUGUGGUGACAGACGAUUGUUAUGAAGGGGCUGAGAAGAAUAAAAAUUAUAAUAUAGAAGGCAAGUUGUAAAGAAAAUUUUAGUGUGCUAAACGAUCCAAAAGUUCCCAAAAUGAAACUUUGAAUCUUCUAUUUAUAGCCUUUCUAAAAUAAUUAUCCCAAAAAAUGGUUAACAACCGACAUUUUCUAUAGAACAUGGGAAAGAAGUGUAUUAUUUCACAAAAAUGUGUUUAUGAAUUGGGUAAUAAGAGUAAUGAAAGAGGAAUUACAAAAAUGGUGGAUAUAAUAAUAAUUUCAUGGAUACACUCAUGUAACUCAUUUUAGCAAGGAGAGUGUUAC
rnacentral:lncRNA from 1 species